GACCGUUUCACUGCGGAAGGGCUGUAUUUAUUGGAUACCAAAACCAUCCUUCCCUCGGGAAGUUUUGUUUGAUGAUUCACAAUAACUGAUCGGAUCGCCACUGUGGUGGCGACAGGUCAUUCAACAUUCUGCCCUAUCAGCUUUCGAUGGUUGUGUAGUGGACAACCAUGGCCAUAACGGGUAACGGAGAAUCAGGGUUCGAUUCCGGAGAAGGAGCUUGAGAAUUGGCUACUACAUCUAAGGAAGGCAGCAGGCGCGCAAAUUACCCAAUCCCGAUUCGGGGAGGUAGUGACAAAAAAUAACAAUACCGGGCCUUUUUGGGCUUGGUAAUUGGAAUGAGGGAGAGUUAAACGGACCAUCGAGUAUCCAUUGGAGGGCAAGUCUGGUGCCAGCAGCUGCGGUAAUACCAGCUCCAAUAGCGUAUAUUAAAGUUGUUGCAGUUAAAAAGCUCGUAGUUGGACUUGUGUGCGCUGUCCGCGGGUGGCCUGCGCCCAAAAGGGCGUUUCGGUUCGGCCCCGGUGGCGCCUUGAAAUCUGCAGCUGGGGGGACGUUGGCCUUAACUGGUCGGCGACCGCACGCCGGCUGCUCGGUUACUGUGAGAAAAUUAGAGUGUUCAAGGCAGGCAUUGGGUGCAAUUGAAUACAUUAGCAUGGAAUAAUAAAAUAUGGCUCCUGCCGUAUUUUGUUGGUUUUGACUGGUGGGAGUAAUGAUUGAUAGGGACGGUUGGGGGUGCUAGUAUUGAGCGGCCAGAGGUGAAAUUCAUGGAUUCGCUCAAGACUAACUUAUGCGAAAGCAUUCACCAAGGACGUCCUCUUUAACCAAGAACGAAAGUUGGGGGAUCGAAGACGAUCAGAUACCGUCGUAGUCUCAACCAUAAACUAUGUCGACUUGGGAUCGGCGGUAGUUUUUUCAUUAAGACACUGUCGGGACCACGGGAGAAAUCAAAGUGUCUGGACUCUGGGGGAAGUAUGGUCGCAAGGCUGAAACUUGAAGGAAUUGACGGAAGGGCACCACCAGGAGUGGAGCCUGCGGCUUAAUUUGACCCAACACGGGGAAACUUACCAGGUCCAGAGAUGUAGAGGAUUGACAGAUUGAAGCUCUUUCUUGAUCACUUCGGUGGUGGUGCAUGGCCGUUCUUAGUUGGUGGAGUGAUUUGUCUGGUUAAUUCCGUUAACGAACGAGACCUCAGCCUGCUAGUGUAGUCGGCUGGAUUG
rnacentral:rRNA from 1 species